ensembl:lincRNA
UUCCCUCUCAGACAGUGGCCAUAGAACGCUUAGCUGCUACAUCCCAAAAGUGCGAGCAGACCAGUUUAGGAUCUGAAGCUUUGUUUUGGUUUGACUUAAAUUUGUCUCUACUUUGUGUCAAGUUGACAAAAAACCUGGCGAGAACACUGUGCAUCCAGAAGACAUAGUGGAUGGAGACUUGACUUAAAAACAUAAGCUUUGCAUUUUCUAACCCUGGUGAGCUAUUGGGCUUCUCUGAAUUUUUAUCUUGGUAAUAAAAUUCUGACCAUGGUUCUGCUACGUGCUGAUGAUCUUGAUCUUUUCUGGCAGUCACCCAUCAAAACCAAAUGUUUAUCAAAUGUUUUUCAACCUUACACGUGGAAACUUUCUUUAAGUAGGGAUAGUAGGUGUUUUUUUUUUUUUUCCUAAUAUCCUGGUUAAAAAUAAAAAGUGAGGGAUUCUGUACAAUAGUGCUCAUCUCUAGCCGUGAUCCUCGGCCUGGUUCCAACCUUAACUUCGCUCACGUUUCUUCCCGUACAGAACUGCGUAGUCUUUACAUAUGCUCUGCUUUUUACCCUCUUUUUCUGAGUUGCUAACUAAAGGCAUUGGGCGGUACCCUGUGCCACAGCCCAAGUGCUGUUCUGGCUUGCAAUUUCCCCCACAAAAUUUGUCCAUCAGUGUUAGAUUCAACUUUAUCGAGAUAUUCAGGAAAUAGGAAGAAAAUAGCCAGAUAAUUUUCUAGAACAUAAAACAGUCCAUUUCCCAGUUCCAGACAGAGUGCUUGUUCAUUGCUGAAACCCCAUGAGCCCAACUUUUAUUGCUUGCAUUUUUAUUAGUUUUUUUUUUUUGGUCUUCUGGACUCCUACUACAUUCAAGGGCUCCACCUAGCCUUCAGUUCCAAACUUUAACAACUACCCACUGCUAGUAUGAAUAGGUCAUGUUGCUGUUGUUGUUACUGUAGCUAAACGUCUGAUGAAGGACAGUUUACUUGGGAUCACAGUUUAGAGGGAUGGACUCCAUCAUGGCGGAGAAGCGUGGUAGCCAGGAACAGCUUGGGCCAGGGCAGCAGGAAAUGGAAGCUCAUAGUACAUUUUCAGGGCCAAUCUGAAAUCCUCAAGACUUACCUUCCACCAGUGCACUUCCUUCAUGAGAGAUUCACCUCCUAAAGUUUCCAUAGACUCUCAAACUGUCACUGUCAGCUGUUCAAACAUGAGACUCUGGGAGACAUUUUGUGUAAAAAUCCUAACAGCUGUUAAAAAUCAGAGAAGAUUUUUCUGUGAGAAAGGUCAUGAAGAGUUGGGCAUGAUUGGCUCAUUUAGGGCUGGCAAGAAAUCUGAAUGGUGGAGUCAAUAGGAAAACGAAAACAGAUGUUAAAAGACAGAUACUUUGGAAAGAACCAAUGGUAGGAGGAACAAUUAUCUUUGAAUUGGCUUCGUGGAUAUUGGGAAAUUAUUGAAAGUCCUUGAGAGAGGCAAGUACAUAGCUGGCUCUGAAUUUUGUGGCAACCUCUGGUAUUUGCAUAGGUGGCAAGAUGUAGAUGGAUUCAGAGAAUGUUCCUGUACAACUUCUUGAGAGAUUCCCUCCACUUUGACCAAUGUCUGACAAGGAGCAAAUGAUUUAGCACACUUAUUUUCCAUAACACAGCAAUGAUAGUGAAAACUAUCUCGGAAGUUUGCCCCGAUGGCUAAAUGACAUGUAAUCUAAGAAUUUAGAACAGCAGCUUAAUGUUUUCAAAGCCAACAUAAAUGAUUACACAAAACCACAUGUGUAGAAAAGAAAUGUGAGCAGGUACUUAUUUUGACCUGGGUAUAAUGACACAUGUCUGGCAUACCAUCAUUCAGGAGUCAGAGGCAGAAAGAUUACAAAAUUGAUACCAGGAUGGCUAUGCAGUAAGACCCUUCCUUUGUGAAGGAGAGAAAGAUCUAGAUUUUUGUAAGCUGCAGGUAAAGAGAGUGGUCUAGGAAGGCUUGCUGGUGUCUAGUCCCAGGUCAGCUUCAUGUUAAUCUCUCUAGGGCUCUUUUUCUUUCUCUGUAAACUAGAAGCAACACCAAUACCUGUUUGAUGGCGUGUCACAUGUGGUGUGUAUGGAGUGUUACAUAAGAUGUGUAUGGUGUGUCAAUGGGAUAUAUAUGAAAUGUCACAUGAGAUGUGUUCAUCCAAGAGCCCAGGAUUCAAUGAGCCCUUACAAAGGGUAGCUUUCAUUAUUAAAAAUGAUUCAUUUGGGGAACUUGUAAUCUCAUGGCUCUUUACCCCUAUAAUUCCUGGCAUUUACCAUGUAACUCACAGGAUGCAAAAAGCAAAACCUUUGCAAUCAAGUAAAGAUGAAAUGAAUCUCUAAGCAAAUGUCCAUUGUGUGAAUUUUCUCCAAUUAGCCCUGCCUCAUUCUGAGAAAAUGCUUUCAUUUCAAAAGGUGCGUUGGAUGAUCCCACACAGUAAUUUACAUGAAGCAAUGCACAGUAAGCUUGUGGAAGCGGGAUUCCAUAAUUCCAUAAGUCCUUUUCUUCAAUCUUCUCUCACAGGUACACUGAUAUGUGAGGAAGUCAUGCAAAUUAGCCUUAGUAUGCCUAGCCUAACCAAGAUUGAUGAGACCCUCAUUUCAUAGCAAAUAGAAAAGGCAGUGCUUUAAAUAGCAAGUUGUGAGUUCAGUCC